CCGCGUGCUGCCUACCCUACGCGCCCAGCGGCGCCUUCUCGCCAGCGCCAUGCCGGGCCGGAACCCAGUGGGCCUCCACAUCCCGGCGGGCCGCCAGCUGGGAGCUGUUUAUUUAUGGCUGCAAAUGUGUGUGUUCAAGAGAGAGAGGGAAUUGAUCUUUGCCUGGACUUAAAGAUGGAGCCGAAGAAGCUGGAGGGAAUUUGGGCUUGUGCGUCUGGCCCAGACCCUGUGCGCCGAGCCCGAGGUCUAUCCUCCCCGCACCUCUCACCUCGCGACCUUGCAGGAAUCCGCGGGCCCGGAUGCUGCCCAGCUGACCCUCCUGCCCCGGGCCUGGCUGCAGAGAAAGUCUUCGGGCAGGAGGCCAUCCUGUUCCUGUCUUUAAAAUGAGCACAAUAAAAGGGGGCAAAUCCUCGAACGCGAACCUGAUCUCAUGUCACAGAAGCAACUUGCCAUGAAAUCCGCUAAUGCGCUGCGACUCGCCCACCAGGAUAAAUAACCCCAUCGUCCGUGUAAUCAGCACGUUCCCAAUGAAGUCGUUUUCCUAGAAUGCGCUCUCCGCCUGCCACACUUGAGGAAUCCAGCCCACAGAGGUUUCGGAAACCCAGUUUGAGUGAUUCCAGCCUAGACUGAAACCCUGAGAGCCUCCCAGGAAAGAGAGCCCGGCCUGGGCCAAGCAGUCGGACACACACACACACACACACACACACACACACACACACACACACACACACACGGACUGCGUAGCUCUUCGCAGGAUCGAAGGCUGGAUGCGGAUCUGGGAGGCGGUGGCUAAGCGAACCAGGAAGACUGUGACGGAAACCAAUACAGCAGUGUCAUCUUGAAAGUUAUUUGGAAGAACAGGACCUGGAGUCUGGGUUUGAAUCAAAAAAUUGUGAGCAAGGGACAGAUCACCCUGUAUUUCUCUGGAACGAGGCAGAACUGAGACCUGCUCAGCUGAACCAGCGUGGCCACAUAUUGGGGACUAGGAAAUUGUUCUCAGACACUGUAGCACACACAUCCUCUGACAGCGAGCUCACUCCUGCGCAGUGGGCUUCUGGUUCUGCCACUGCACUCCACAAACGCCCUACAGGCCUCCUCCAGGUUUUGCCAGGCAAAUGAAACGAGCACAACUCGAUAGUAAAUUAUUUUGUUCAGCCUUCUCUCUUUUUAUGAAAAUAAGAGGCAACACUUUGUCAUUUUUAAUCACAUAAGCAGACAAUAAAUCUAAUUUUGAUAUUGAUUUUUUUUCCAGAAUCCAGUGAUUUUUUGUAGUGGCUGUUGUGUUUCCUUUCUGAAGAAGGGCUGUUUUCUUUUAGACUGUGUGGCAACGGGGCUGCGUCUAUGCAGGCUGGUGCUUAUCUGAAACACGUUGUGGACUUUGA
rnacentral:lncRNA from 10 species